CUACUGAUUAAAAUCCCUCAGGCCUAAAGAAAGGCAGCUGGCUUCUUGCAUCAAAGUCCAAACCAAUCGGGGACUCCGCCUCGUCUGGGGUCACCCUUCUGGCUCUGCUGCUCUUUCUCCAUGAACUUCUUCCUGAAGUCAUCAAAGGCCUCAGCUUCCGAGUCUUCUUUCUCUGGAAAUAGGUUGGGAAACUGAAAGGUUUUCCCUUGACCCAGCUGUACGUAGGCGACCUUGUAAUCUGGCUUCUUCACUCUCUGAUUCCUAUGGUUUCUCUUGUUGUUUGCACCGUACUGUAUCCUGGUCCUCACAGCAGCUACUGGCACAUUAUAGAUUUUCUCAAGGUAAUUCUUGAUAUCCACUUUUGUCAUUUUGCCACCCUCCG
rnacentral:lncRNA from 1 species